CAACACUUUUUAAUGCACAUUCUCUAUACGUCUAACAAGAGUAGCACAAUGUAGUGCACCAAAUUAUACAGCCACACUUCUCGUAGUGAAACUUUAUUAGAAGUUGCGUACUUUUUCAAUAUUUACUGUCAACAUUGGUGGUUCGAUCGAUACAACUAACUUGCUAUAUAACAAAUAUAAAAGGGGACAAAUUGCGCCCCC
rnacentral:lncRNA from 1 species